rnacentral:lncRNA from 1 species
GAGUGGGUAGAAUGGUUAAAAAAAAAUCUUGGUAUGUUGUAUCAAUAACUUCAAUAAUGUCAAGUACUUUUGGCAAAACAUGAACAUAUUUACCAAAUUCUUUUGAUUAAUAUCUCUUGAAGUUUACGAAAGAAUUCACAACUAAAAUAGUACACAUACAAAUCAUAAAACAUGGUAUAAACAAGACUAUUAUACAUUGAGCUAAAUAUCAUUCCUCAACAUAGAUAAGUUUGGACUCCACUUGACAUCAUUCUUUUGUACCACUUUGGGCAGAAGACUUCGGAAGACUCUGUGGGAAGUCUUCUACCAUA